AUUGAACGCUGGCGGCAGGCCUAACACAUGCAAGUCGAACGAGCGGCGGACGGGUGAGUAAUGUCUGGGAAACUGCCUGCUGGAGGGGGAUAACUACUGGAAACGGUAGCUAAUACCGCAUACCAUCAGAUGUACCCAUAUGGGAUUAGCUUGUUGGUGGGGUAACGGCUCACCAAGGCGACGAUCCCUAGCUGGUCUGAGAGGAUGACCAGCCACACUGGAACUGAGACACGGCCCAGACUCCUACGGGAGGCAGCAGUGGGGAAUAGUGCACAAUGGGCGAAAGCCUGAUGCAGCCAUGCCGCGUGUAUGAAGAAGGCCUUCGGGUUGUAAAGUACUUUCAGUGGGGAGGCGUUACCGACAGAAGAAGCACCGGCUAACUCCGUGCCAGCAGCCGCGGUAAUAC
rnacentral:rRNA from 1 species